AUCCGCAUAAAAUUUAGGUCUCAACUGGUCUCAUUGUAAUUGGAAACAAAUUUUCGGAAACAGAAAAGUUUGCGAUCGUUCAGCUUUAUCAUAAAUUGAAUCAAAACAAAGCGCUUUAUCAAUAGCGGUAAAAAUCGAGUUUCUAGUCCAUCCUCGAUCAUUGCAUCACCAAGCAGUCUAAUAAAAAGAAAAAAACCUUCGUAGGGCUUAUAUAGAAGAGCCGACCUCUCCUAGGCUCAUUUAAAGUUACAUUUUAUUACAGCCAGUGACCAAGAUGAUGAAGGAAAUAAUAAUUGUUACAUUUUUGUUAAUGUAUUGCGCUGCAACACCUGUGCAACCUUUGCAGAAAGUUGUUGCAGUGGUAGUCCCUCCUGAAAGCGUCCGAAGUGCUGAAAUUUUCGCUACUGCAGAAAGUGGGUGGAGAAAUAGACCUGGAGGAGGAAUUGGGCAUGGAAGUGGUUGGAGAAAUCGAGGUGGAGGAUUGAUGGGAGGGUACUUGAACUAUGGGGGCGGCUGGAAACGGGGAGGUUAUUACAGAGUGGGUUAAUUUGUGUACCAACUUUUUAUAAUAAACUUUUUUACGAUUCAAA